rnacentral:rRNA from 1 species
UGACGAGUGGCGGACGGGUGAGUAACGCGUGGGAAUCUACCUAGUAGCGGGGGAUAGCCAGGAGAAAUCCUGAUUAAUACCGCAUAUGAUCUCCGGAUAAAGAGGCCCUCUUCUUGAAAGGUCUCACUACUAGAUGAGCCCGCGUUAGAUUAGCUUGUUGGUGAGGUAAGAGCUCACCAAGGCAACGAUCUAUAGCUGGUCUGAGAGGAUGAUCAGCCACAUUGGGACUGAGACACGGCCCASACUCCUACGGGAGGCAGCAGUGGGGAAUAUUGGACAAUGGGCGCAAGCCUGAUCCAGCAAUACCGCGUGCGUGAAGAAGGCCUUAGGGUUGUAAAGCACUUUUAUGAGUGAAGAAGGGUUAGUAAUUAAUACUUACUGGCAUUGACGGUAACUCACRAAUAAGCACCGGCUAACUCCGUGCCAGCAGCCGCGGUAAUACGGAGGGUGCAAGCGUUAAUCGGAAUUACUGGGCGUAAAGGGUACGUAGGCGGUUAGAUAAGUUGGAUGUGAAAGCCCCGGGCUCAACCUGSGAACUGCAUUCAAAACUGUUUAACUAGAGUGUAUAAGAGGUUAGCGGAAUUCCAGGUGUAGCAGUGAAAUGCGUAGAUAUCUGGAGGAACAUCAGUGGCGAAGGCGGCUAACUGGUAUAACACUGACGCUGGAGGUACGAAAGCGUGGGUAGCGAACGGCAUUAGAUACCACGGUAGUCCACGCCCUCAGCGAUGAGAACUAGCUGUUGGGGUGAGUAAAUUCACUCAGUAGCGAAGCUAACGCGUU